ACAGGUGCGACCCUAAAAAAAAAUUUUUUUGAAAGAUACAGAGAAGAUUAGCAUGGCCCCUGCUUAAGGAUAAUAUGCAAAUUCAUGAGGCAUUCUGUAUUUUU